AACCUCAACACCAUCUCACCUUCCACCUCUUCCUCCUCCUCACACAAACACACGCGGCUCCCUCUCCCAGUUCCAGCCCAGCCCAGUCACCCUUCCCUCCAAUCCGCCGCCACCACCACCAUUAAGACCCUCUGCCGCACCCAAUUAAGUUCGCGUCCCUCAUCUAUCUGUCCUCUAUUACUUACCCUUGCUCGUUCCUUCUCCCCUUCUCAGCUCUUUCCCUCUCCUUUCGCCUCUCGAUUCCCACCCCGUCCCGCCCCCUCCAGUGUUUAUUCGCCGCUCCGUUCCUUUUCGUUCUAUUUCAUCUCGUUCCGUCCUACCUCCACUCCGUAACAGUUCGCCACUCAUCUGUCACAUCGUUCCGCCGUCACACUUCUUCUGAUCUUGAGGCCACCACACAAGACCACACCAAGACCACAACAGACCAAGAUCGCGCCACAGCAAACCAGACCACGCCAGGCUACACCAAGACCACACUAGACCACCUCUUCGGCAAUGAAAGUCGCGCUUACGGCGACGCUUCUGGUGAUGGUGCUGGUGGUGGUGGUGCUGUUGAUGCUGCCGGCGCCCUCCACACAGCUGUUCUUCAGGAGGAGGUUCACCGUUGCUCGUCCACGGGCAAAGUACUGGCGGAGACACAGGUUUGGCCCAGGAUCACGCUCAUACAGGAGAAGGCACGGUGAGCAGACACAAAUCCCGCUGAUCUUUCAAAUGAAGCCGCGGAAGGAAGAGGGAACGAGGCGAGGGUGAGCCAGGUGCGAGGAGCAACAUUACAUAUAGAAAGAGAGAGAGCUUCGUCCAUUACUGAAGUCACCAGGCGAUUCAACCCUUGCAGCGAUACCAGAGAUGUUUUUUUCUAUAAUUACCUGUAGCUUUUCUAUGUUUAUUUUUGUAUUGCGAUCGCUUAGAUAAUAUAAUGCGGUCUGGGAAAGGAAAUGAUCAAUCUAUUUUCCCCAUUUUUUAUUAUUAAUUUAUGACAACAUGGUAAUAUUAAUCCCUUCAGUACCAUGACACGUUUCCAUAUGCAUUCUGGUUAGUAUUUGAUGAUUUUCUACAUUUUCAGAAACUCA